rnacentral:lncRNA from 1 species
UGUAUCUAAUCUAUCUCUUUCUGUCUCCUUCCCUCCCUUCCUCCUUCCUAACUUCCUCCCACCCAUCCCUCCUUCCCUCCCUCCCUCUCUCCCUGUUCCUCUUGGCAUCCUCUCUUUGUGUCUCUCUAGGCCACUACAUGUCUAGGAGACCCCAGUAAUAUCCCCCAUCAUACUCUUCUCCAUCAUAUCUUCCCCAGGAUCCCCAAAGCUCCUUCCAACCUCUUCCAGAGACUACUGUGCACCUCCAGGGAGGGUCUGGACUUUCAGCCACUGAAGCUGCAUAAAUAAGGAGCGAUGGGGAGAGGAGCAUAUGUGUCCCAGUGGCAUGCUGCCUGUGCUGGCGGCAGCAGGAGGCCUGACAGGCUCGUCCAUUGCCAAGCUCUACUCAAAGUGUCAGUCACCAACAGCCUUCCAUUCAAGGGCCCCUGUUUGCCACGAUCAACAUUUCAAAAGCAAGUGCGUGAGGCGUACAGUAGGUUGCUAUAAUUCACCCAAGGGCUGCGCCUGCCGCAGGAGACCAGCCGUAUUCUUCUCUCUGAGCUCCCCCUCUCUGUUAUUAUAUAAAACCAUUGCAGCCCUUAAGGAGUUGGCAUCUGACAUCGCCAGCUCCUGGAUCCCCAGAACAGAGCUGGGAAGGAAUAAAUAGAAGGGAGGGAAAGCGGCGUUCUGUUCCGGCUCCGGCAACAACGUGAACCAACCGUCAGAGAGUUAACAGCAGCCAAGCAUUUGGUGUUAAUCUUUAAUAUUCCCAAGAACUUGUCACCUCUUCCUUCAGGCCCACAGCUGCCUCCUCCAAGCCCCAGAAAUCAGGAGUGUGAACAAAUGUGGAGGGAUGAACAUGGCAGCAGAAGGUGAAAGGGCUCUGUGGCUGUUGCCCAGCUAACAGUGUGUCUACUGUUGACAGUUUAUUCUCAUCAAGACAGUGCAGGCUCUGUGGAUCCUGUGUGAAUCUGUCCAUCACCUUGAAUGUCUGGCGAUCUUGACACCACGCUUCAUGGCCAGGCUGGACCCUCUACUAACCGCUGAGGUUUCACUGCUUGCUUCUGACCUCAGAGGACCUCUUCAUGCCAUCCAGACACCUUCACCUCCAUUGCGAAUUCCUGAUAUGCUGAUUUUCGUGGUUUCUUCCUCUACCUGUACAUCCCUCCACACAUCCUACCUCUGAUCCAGUGUCUAUAUACCUACCAUCCUUUUGUACAGAGACUCCAGAGUCAGAAAUGCUAUCAGCUGCCUGUAAAGCUGGUGGGCUUACAGUGUGUGCGUGUGCGUGUGCGUGUGCGUGUGCGUGUGCGUGUGCGUGUGCGUGUGUGUGUGUGUGUGUGUGUGUAAAGAGAUCAAGGGAUCGAGAGACUUGCCCAAGGUUGCAUAAUGUACGAGUGAGGAAAUGAGUCACAUCUCCUCACGGCACUCCAUGUAGAGUGAACAUCUCUGUUAUAUUAAUUUGAAUAUGAAUUUGAAUUUGAAUAUGAAUGUUAUAUAAUUUGAAUAUGCUUGGCCCAUGGGAAGUGCUACUAUUAGGAGGUGUGGCCUAGUUGGAGGAAGUGCAUCACUGGGGGGCAAGAGCAGGAGGAUGGGGCGGGGAGGCUUUGAGAUCCUCUGCUUAAGCUCUGCCCAGGGAAGAAAGUCUCUUGGCUGCCUUUGGAUCAAGAUGUAGAACUCUCUUGGCUCCUCCAGCGCCAUGGCUGCCUGGAAGCUGCCAUGAUGUCAAUGGACUGACCCUUUAAACUGUAAGCCAACCCCAAUUAAAUGUCUUUCUUUAUAUGAGUUGCCUUAGUUAUGAUGUCUCUUUAUAGCAAUGAAAGUCACACCAAUUUGAUGACAGAAGCAGAUGUGUGGGGACUAGCCCUGCUUGAGGCUAGCCUGGCCUAUAAGAAAUUCAUCUCAAAAACAACAAAGAUAAACUGUAAGAUAGCGCAAACAAGGACAACACAGAGAAUUGUGGGAACACAUGCUUUUGGGUUUAAAAUUAUCAAUUAUGGAGACAACUCAGAGAGUAGAGCAUCCACCACACCCGUGGGAGGACCUGAGGGCAGAAACCCAAUGCCCACUAUAGCCAGACUGGGAGCUGUGACCCCAGCUCUCCUGUGAUGAGGUGGGAACUGAGAUAGCAUUCCUGGAAGUUCGAGGGAGAGCUAGCAUGGGGUAUGCAGCACAAAAACAAGACACCUUGCCUCAGUCAAAGUGGGAGGUGAAGACCAACGCUCACAGUUGCCCACUGACCUCCAAACAUGCACCAUGGCCCAUGCACAAGCACACGCUCAUAUUAAAAAACGAAAGAGCCAGACACAUGGAGAGAUGAUGACAACAUUUAAUUAAGAAUGAUAUUAAAAAUGAAAAUAAACAGGGUUCAGACACUGGCCAAUCAGAAUAGAGUUUUUGCAGGGGUCUCCUAGGUUCGGAAUUAACCCUUCUUGUUCUGAAUCAUGGGACCAUUCAGGCAUCCAAGGUGGAGAGGCUGAGGGCUAGCAUGGGUCCAUGGCAGGUUUUCAAGUCCAGUUUGCCCAUCUGAUGCACCUCAGUACCAGCACUGGCAUAAUGUACUGUUGACACACACAGCACAGGGUCCCGAAGCCAAGUCUGAGCUGUGCGUUGUCUAGGAACCUCAUCCCUGCUGUAGUAGCCUUGGCUGCACUGGAGAGUCCCAUAGACUUGGAUGCACUCCAGGUAGCCUUGUCCUGCCUCAAGCCUCAUGCCCAGAUCAUCCUGCAGGCUGCAUUCCUUCAAUCUCCUCAUCUCCUCGCUCUAGCUCACAGGAGUAGGGUCACUCACACAGCAUCUUCCAGUGAGUGAGGCAGAGUGGGGAGGACAGUUCUGAGGACACAUUGAAGCAUCCUCUUCCAGAGGGCAUGCUGAGGUGCCAUCUGCCUCCUACAGAGUAAAGGGGACUCAAAUCCUGGUCACUGUAUAGGCCUCUCACCUCCCCUGCUGCAACCCAAUCCUGUCCUCCAUUCUCACCCGAAGAACGUACUUCCUGAGUCCCCAUCUCAGGAUCUUUUUAAAAACUUAUUUUUUGAGAUUAUAAUUUCACCAUCCCCCCUUCCUUUUCUCCUUUCCUUGUACCUCUCAAACUCACAGCCUC